GUGGGCGUAGUUCAGUUGGUUAGAGCGUCAGAUUGUGGUUCUGAAUGUCGUGGGUUCGAGUCCCACCGUCCACCCA
rnacentral:tRNA from 6 species